GCUGGGUGUGUGCCUCACACCUGUAAUCCCAUCCACAUGGGAGGCUGAGGCAGGAGGACUGCAAGUUUAAGGCCAGCCCCAGCAACUUAGUGAGACUCUCAACAACUCUGUGAGACCCUGUCUCAA
rnacentral:sRNA from 1 species